GACGAACGCUGGCGGCGUGCUUAACACAUGCAAGUCGAGCGGUAAGGCCCUUUCGGGGGUACACGAGCGGCGAACGGGUGAGUAACACGUGGGUGACCUGCCCUCAGCUCUGGGAUAAGCCUGGGAAACCGGGUCUAAUACUGGAUAUGACUCCAUGACGCAUGUUGUGGGGUGGAAAGCCUUGUGCGGCUGAGGAUGGGCCCGCGGCCUAUCAGCUUGUUGGUGGGGUGAGGCCUACCAAGGCGACGACGGGUAGCCGGCCUGAGAGGGCGACCGGCCACACUGGGACUGAGACACGGCCCAGACUCCUACGGGAGCAGCAGUGGGGAAUCUUGCGCAAUGGGCGAAAGCCUGACGCAGCGACGCCGCGUGAGGGAUGA
rnacentral:rRNA from 1 species